rnacentral:rRNA from 1 species
GACGAACGCUGGCGGCGUGCCUAAUACAUGCAAGUUGAGCGCUGAAGGUUGGUACUUGUACCAACUGGAUGAGCAGCGAACGGGUGUGUAACGCGUGGGGAAUCUGCCUUUGAGCGGGGGACAACAUUUGGAAACGAAUGCUAAUACCGCAUAAAAACUUUAAACACAAGUUUUAAGUUUGAAAGAUGCAAUUGCAUCACUCAAAGAUGAUCCCGCGUUGUAUUAGCUAGGUGGUGAGGUAAAGGCUCACCAAGGCGAUGAUACAUAGCCGACCUGAGAGGGUGAUCGGCCACAGUGGGACUGAGACACGGCCCAAACUCCUACGGGAGGCAGCAGUAGGGAAUCUUCGGCAAUGGACGAAAGUCUGACCGAGCAACGCCGCGUGAGUGAAGAAGGUUGUCGGAUCGUAAAACUCUGUUGGUAGAGAAGAACGUUGGUGAGAGUGGAAAGCUCAUCAAGUGACGGUAACUACCCAGAAAGGGACGGCUAACUACGUG